rnacentral:tRNA from 1 species
GUGGCUGUAGCUCAGUAGGUAGAGCACCUGGUUGUGGUCCAGGGGGUCGCGGGUUCGAGUCCCGUCAGCCACCCCA